CGGUACNGCCAAGAGAUCGGGAUAACACCUGGAAACAGAUGCUAAUACCGGAUAACAACAGAUGAUGCCUAUCAACUGUUUAAAAGAUGGUUCUGCUAUCACUCUUGGAUGGACCUGCGGUGCAUUAGCUAGUUGGUAGGGUAACGGCCUACCAAGGCGAUGAUGCAUAGCCGAGUUGAGAGACUGAUCGGCCACAUUGGGACUGAGACACGGCCCAAACUCCUACGGGAGGCAGCAGAG
rnacentral:rRNA from 1 species